rnacentral:rRNA from 1 species
CAGCAGCCACGGUAAUACGAAGGGUGCAAGCGUUACUCGGAAUUACUGGGCGUAAAGCGUGCGUAGGUGGUGGUUUAAGUCCGUUGUGAAAGCCCUGGGCUCAACCUGGGAAUUGCAGUGGAUACUGGAUCACUAGAGUGUGGUAGAGGAUAGUGGAAUUUCCGGUGUAGCAGUGAAAUGCGUAGAGAUCGGAAGGAACAUCUGUGGCGAAGGCGACUAUCUGGGCCAACACUGACACUGAGGCACGAAAGCGUGGGGAGCAAACAGGAUUAGAUACCCCUGUAGUCCCUGUCUCUUAUAC